AUUGCACGCUAGCGGGAUGCUUUACACAUGCAAGUCGAACGAGUGGCGGACGGGUGAGUAAUAUAUCGGAACGUGCCCAGUAGCUGGGGAUAACUACUCGUAAGAGUGGCUAAUACCUCCUACUAUUGGCGCGGCCGCUAUCGGAUUAGCUAGGUGGUGGGGUAAAGGCUCACCAAGCCAACGAUCAGUAGCUGGUUUGAGAGGACGACCAGCCACACUGGGAAUGUGACAAGGCCAAGACGCCUACGGGAGGCAGCAGUGGGGAAUUUUGGGCAAUGGGGGAAGCCCUGAUCCAGCCAUCCCGCGUGUAUGAGAAGGCCUUCGGGUUGUAAAGUACUUUUGGCAGAGAAGCGGUAUCUGCAGAAUAAGCACCGGCGAACUACGUGCCAGCAGCCGCGGUAAUAC
rnacentral:rRNA from 1 species